rnacentral:rRNA from 1 species
GAGAGCGGCGUACGGGUGCGGAACACGUGUGCAACAGCUUUAUCUGGGGGAUAGCCUUUCGAAAGGAAGAUUAAUACCCCAUAAUAUGUUGAAUGGCAUCAUUCGACAUUGAAAACUCCGGUGGAUAGAGAUGGGCACGCGCAAGAUUAGAUAGUUGGUGAGGUAACGGCUCACCAAGUCUACGAUCUUUAGGGGGGCCUGAGAGGGUGAUCCCCCACACUGGUACUGAGACACGGACCAGACUCCUACGGGAGGCAGCAGUGAGGAAUAUUGGACAAUGGGUGAGAGCCUGAUCCAGCCAUCCCGCGUGAAGGACGACUGGCCUAUGGGUUGUAAACUUCUUUUGUAUAGGGAUAAACCUACCCUCGUGAGGGUAGCUGAAGGUACUAUACGAAUAAGCACCGGUAACUCCGUGCCAGCAGCCGCGGUAAUACGGAGGGUGCAAGCGUUAUCCGGAUUUAUGGGUUUAAAGGGUCCGUAGCGGAUCUGUAAGUCAGUGGUGAAAUCUCACAGUUUAAUUGUGAAAUUGGCAUUUUGAUACUUGAGGUCUUGAGUGUGGAAGUAAUGGGAAUAAGUUAGUUGUAACCGGGUGAAAAUGGC